rnacentral:rRNA from 1 species
GACGAACGCUGGCGGCGUGCUUAACACAUGCAAGUCGAACGGAAAGGCCCUGCUUUUGUGGGGUGCUCGAGUGGCGAACGGGUGAGUAACACGUGAGUAAACUGCCCUUGACUUUGGGAUAACUUCAGGAAACUGGGGCUAAUACCGGAUAGGAGCUCCUGCUGCAUGGGGGGGGUUGGAAAGUUUCGGCGGUUGGGGAUGGACUCGCGGCUUAUCAGCUUGUUGGUGGGGUAGUGGCUUACCAAGGCUUUGACGGGUAGCCGGCCUGAGAGGGUGACCGGCCACAUUGGGACUGAGAUACGGCCCAGACUCCUACGGGAGGCAGCAGUGGGGAAUAUUGCACAAUGGGCGGAAGCCUGAUGCAGCAACGCCGCGUGCGGGAUGACGGCCUUCGGGUUGUAAACCGCUUUCGCCUGUGACGAAGCGUGAGUGACGGUAAUGGGUAAAGAAGCACCGGCUAACUACGUG